rnacentral:rRNA from 1 species
CUACGGGUUGCUGCAGUGGGGAAUAUUGGACAAUGGGCGCAAGCCUGAUCCAGCAAUGCCGCGUGAGUGAAGACGGCCUUAGGGUUGUAAAACUCUUUCGCUAGGGAAGAUAAUGACUGUACCUAGUAAAGAAGUCCCGGCUAACUCCGUGCCAGCAGCCGCGGUAAUACGGAGGGGACUAGCGUUGUUCGGAAUUACUGGGCGUAAAGAGUUCGUAGGCGGACUGACAAGUUAGAGGUGAAAUCCCAGGGCUCUACCCUGGAACUGCCUUUAAAACUGUCAGUCUAGAGACCGGAAGAGGUUAGGGGAAUACCUAGUGUAGAGGUGAAAUUCGUAGAUAUUAGGUGGAACACCAGUGGCGAAGGCGCCUAGCUGGUCCGGUACUGACGCUGAGGAACGAAAGCGUGGGGAGCAAACAGGAUUAGAUACCCUAGUAGUC